AUUGAACGCUGGCGGCAUGCUUUACACAUGCAAGUCGAACGGUAACAGCACUUCGGUGGCUGACGAGUGGCGCACGGGUGAGUAAUACAUCGGAACGUGCCUAGUAGUGUGGGAUAACUACUCGAAAGAGUAGCUAAUACCGCAUGAGAUCUAAGGAUGAAAGCAGGGGACCUUCGGGCCUUGCGCUACUAGAGCGGCUGAUGGCAGAUUAGGUAGUUGGUGGGAUAAAAGCUUACCAAGCCGACGAUCUGUAGCUGGUCUGAGAGGACGACCAGCCACACUGGGACUGAGACACGGCCCAGACUCCUACGGGAGGCAGCAGUGGGGAAUUUUGGACAAUGGGCGCAAGCCUGAUCCAGCAAUGCCGCGUGCAGGAUGAAGGCCUUCGGGUUGUAAACUGCUUUUGUACGGAACGAAAAGCCCUCUUCUAAUACAGGAGGGUCAUGACGGUACCGUAAGAAUAAGCACCGGCUAACUACGUG
rnacentral:rRNA from 1 species